rnacentral:rRNA from 1 species
UACAGAGGGUGCAAGCGUUAAUCGGAGUUACUGGGCGUAAAGGGCGCGUAGGCGGUUAUUUAAGUCGGUUGUGAAAACCCUGGGCUUAACCUAGGAAUUGCAAUCGAUACUGGAUAUUCUUGAGUAUGGUAGAGGAAAGUGGAAUUCUCGGUGUAGUGGUUAAAUACGUAGAUAUCGAGAAGAACACCGGUGGCGAAGGCGGCUUUCUGGACCUAUACUGACGCUGAGGCGCGAAAGCGUGGGGAGCAAACAGG